GGCCUAACACAUGCAAGUCGAACGGUAACAGGAAGCAGCUUGCUGCUUCGCUGACGAGUGGCGGACGGGUGAGUAAUGUCUGGGAAACUGCCUGAUGGAGGGGGAUAACUACUGGAAACGGUAGCUAAUACCGCAUAACGUCGCAAGACCAAAGAGGGGGACCUUCGGGCCUCUUGCCAUCGGAUGUGCCCAGAUGGGAUUAGCUAGUAGGUGGGGUAACGGCUCACCUAGGCGACGAUCCCUAGCUGGUCUGAGAGGAUGACCAGCCACACUGGAACUGAGACACGGUCCAGACUCCUACGGGAGGCAGCAGUGGGGAAUAUUGCACAAUGGGCGCAAGCCUGAUGCAGCCAUGCCGCGUGUAUGAAGAAGGCCUUCGGGUUGUAAAGUACUUUCAGCGGGGAGGAAGGCGAUAAGGUUAAUAACCUUGUCGAUUGACGUUACCCGCAGAAGAAGCACCGGCUAACUCCGUGCCAGCAGCCGCGGUAAUACGGAGGGUGCAAGCGUUAAUCGGAAUUACUGGGCGUAAAGCGCACGCAGGCGGUCUGUCAAGUCGGAUGUGAAAUCCCCGGGCUCAACCUGGGAACUGCAUUCGAAACUGGCAGGCUAGAGUCUUGUAGAGGGGGGUAGAAUUCCAGGUGUAGCGUGAAAAUGCGUAGAGAUCUGGAGGAAUACCGGUGGCGAAGGCGGCCCCCUGGACAAAGACUGACGCUCAGGUGCGAAAGCGUGGGGAGCAAACAGGAUUAGAUACCCUGGUAGUCCACGCCGUAAACGAUGUCGACUUGGAGGUUGUGCCCUUGAGGCGUGGCUUCCGGAGCUAACGCGUUAAGUCGACCGCCUGGGGAGUACGGCCGCAAGGUUAAAACUCAAAUGAAUUGACGGGGGCCCGCACAAGCGGUGGAGCAUGUGGUUUAAUUCGAUGCAACGCGAAGAACCUUACCUACUCUUGACAUCCAGAGAACUUAGCAGAGAUGCUUUGGUGCCUUCGGGAACUCUGAGACAGGUGCUGCAUGGCUGUCGUCAGCUCGUGUUGUGAAAUGUUGGGUUAAGUCCCGCAACGAGCGCAACCCUUAUCCUUUGUUGCCAGCGGUCCGGCCGGGAACUCAAAGGAGACUGCCAGUGAUAAACUGGAGGAAGGCGGGGAUGACGUCAAGUCAUCAUGGCCCUUACGAGUAGGGCUACACACGUGCUACAAUGGCGCAUACAAAGAGAAGCGACCUCGCGAGAGCAAGCGGACCUCAUAAAGUGCGUCGUAGUCCGGAUUGGAGUCUGCAACUCGACUCCAUGAAGUCGGAAUCGCUAGUAAUCGUGGAUCAGAAUGCCACGGUGAAUACGUUCCCGGGCCUUGUACACACCGCCCGUCACACCAUGGGAGUGGGUUGCAAAAGAAGUAGGUAGCUUAACCUUCGGGAGGGCGCUUACCACUUUGUGAUUCAUGACUGGGGUGAAGUAA
rnacentral:rRNA from 1 species